rnacentral:rRNA from 1 species
UACAGAGGUCCCAAGCGUUGUUCGGAUUCACUGGGCGUAAAGGGUGCGUAGGUGGCUUGGUAAGUUUGACGUGAAAUCUCCGGGCUUAACCCGGAAAUGGCAUUGAAUACUAUUGAGCUGGAGGUUUGGAGGGGGGACUGGAAUUCUCGGUGUAGCAGUGAAAUGCGUAGAUAUCGAGAGGAACACCAGUGGCGAAGGCGAGUCCCUGGACAACACCUGACACUGAGGCACGAAAGCUAGGGGAGCAAACAGG